rnacentral:tRNA from 2 species
UCAUGGUUAGCUCAGUUGGUAGAGCACUCCACUGGAAAUGGAGAGGUCCCUGGUUCGAUCCCAGAACCAGGCG